UGAAGCAAUCAAAUCAAAUCUUUAAGUUAAAAAGCCAAAAAACCCUACCUCGCCUCCAUUUUUGUGUCCCCUUCCUUCUCCAUAUCCUUUGAUCUACUUCCCAUCACUGCUUAUCUCUCUCUGCUUCUUCUAUUUCAAACAAAUCGAACACUGCAACACACCGCGACGGUCGUUCCGAAGAUGAAUCUUAACUACAUCGCGAGAAGCUCUUCGAAUACCUUGAGAAAUUCAAUAGUUCCAAGAACAAAUCUCAGGUGAUACUCUGAAUGCAUUGAAGAACAACAUGAAUUAUCCUAACAAUGUUCUUUAAUGUUGGCCAAGGAGGUCAAAAUGUUUUGGAGCUUUAUGAUUUUUAUCAUGUAGACCAAGAGAGGCUUUGUGUUUGCUGUCAAGGAGUCCAUUGUUUAGUUGAUUUGGUGCUAAAAGCUUCUUCCAAGACUAUAAGGAUUAUUAUUCAAAUAUCAAUCUGAAUGAAGCUAUUGAUUUGUUAAGGUUUUACAUUGGAGCAAUACGGUGAAAAGGGAUUACGAUCAAAGAAGGCAUGUUACAGGUGCUUCUUCAUAUGAUUAUGCAGCCAAGAUAGUGGGGGUAUUGAAUGGAAAUUUUUACUAUUUUACACUAAGAUUGUCCAAUUUUAGUUGUAUUUAUGGUUGAGUAAAUAGUGUCUUAACUUGUAUCUGAGAAGUCAUUGGAGCGGUAACCAUGACUUUAGGUUUUUUAUAGUAGUAGUACAUGUUGCUACUUUUUAGUACCCAUAGAAAGGAUGUACUCCACUAUUCAUUUAUGUAAAACUGCAAUCAUUUGAAUAAAGGAGUUCAUGUAUUUGCCUCA